rnacentral:rRNA from 1 species
CUGGAGGUAUCAGAAGUGCGAAUGCUGACAUAAGUAACGAUAAAGCGGGUGAAAAGCCCGCUCGCCGGAAGACCAAGGGUUCCUGUCCAACGUUAAUCGGGGCAGGGUGAGUCGACCCCUAAGGCGAGGCCGAAAGGCGUAGUCGAUGGGAAACAGGUUAAUAUUCCUGUACUUGGUGUUACUGCGAAGGGGGGACGGAGAAGGCUAUGUUGGCCGGGCGACGGUUGUCCCGGUUUAAGCGUGUAGGCUGGUUUUCCAGGCAAAUCCGGAAAAUCAAGGCUGAGGCGUGAUGACGAGGCACUACGGUGCUGAAGCAACAAAUGCCCUGCUUCCAGGAAAAGCCUCUAAGCAUCAGGUAACAUCAAAUCGUACCCCAAACCGACACAGGUGGUCAGGUAGAGAAUACCAAGGCGCUUGAGAGAACUCGGGUGAAGGAACUAGGCAAAAUGGUGCCGUAACUUCGGGAGAAGGCACGCUGAUAUGUAGGUGAAGCGACUUGCUCGUGGAGC